CACACAGGAAUUGGCACAAAGAGACUGUUAAAGGGGCCCAGCUCCCAAAAAUUCCACAGGGAUUCAUCCCAUUUGUGCUGGAGCUGGAAUCCUGGGUUUAAGCUGGCAGGGAAGGCAACUCUGUCAAUGCCUCCUUCAGCUGCAGCACCAGGAUGGCCGAGCACAGGGAGCAGCUGAGGGGGGUCUGAGUGGAGAAUUUGGGGCUCUUUCCUGGUUGGAACAGCUCAGCCUCUUUGGGAAGAAGAGGUGGGAAUGCUGCCCCUUUCCAGGAUGAAGCGAGCAACAGGGGUGAAUUGCCUCUCUUGGUGCUGCACGGGGAUUUCACCAGCCUGAGAAGCGCUGGGAUGGAGGAGAUUUGGGGACCCUUGGAGCUGGUUCUGAGCCAGCUGUGUCCCACAGGGAACUCGUGCUGUGCUUGGGGCUCCCUUCACCUCCUCCAGCACCGUGGUCUCCAGCUGAUCCCGGGCAGGAAGUUCUGGGAUGGUGCUCAGUGCCUGAAGGGAGCGGGGAGGACGAGCUGCAGACCCAGGAUCCAUCUCUGAUCGCUGCUGUGCACAAACCAUGGAAUUGCUCAGCCCGGGAGUCGAGGAAGGAGUCAGGAUUCCUCAGCUGUGCUUUUCAAGCUAUUUUCCAAUACCCAUCACCUACGUUAGACAGUGUGUUCCUACCCUAAACCAAUCCAAAAGUGCCACCAUCACACAGAAGAUGGAGGCUGGGAAGAAGGAGAAAGAAGGACAAGGCACGCCCAAAUUCCUCCAUCUUGGCUUCUGAACCCCUAUUCAAAAAAACCCUAAAAACCCUAAACCCCCCCCAAAAAAACCCUAGAAAACUCCACCCUCCCCCAAAAAAAACCCUAAAAACUCCCCCCAAAAAACCCUAAAAACCCCAAAAUUCUACUUUUCACCCUGUGAUAAACUAUCAUUCUACUUAAA